rnacentral:rRNA from 1 species
AUUGAACGCUGGCGGCAUGCCUUACACAUGCAAGUCGAACGGCAGCACGGGGCAACCUGGUGGCGAGUGGCGAUCGGGUGAGUAAUGCAUCGGAACGUACCUUUCAGUGGGGGAUAACGUAGCGAAAGUUACGCUAAUACCGCAUAUUCUGUGAGCAGGAAAGCAGGGGAUCGCAAGACCUUGCGCUGAUUGAGCGGCCGAUGUCAGAUUAGCUAGUUGGUGAGGUAAAGGCUCACCAAGGCGACGAUCUGUAGCGGGUCUGAGAGGAUGAUCCGCCACACUGGAACGGAGACACGGUCGAGAAUCCUACGGGAGUCAGCAGUGGGGAAUUUUUGACAAUGGGGGCAACCCUGGUCCAGCCAUGCCGCGUGAGUGAAGAAGGCCUUCGGGUUGUAAAGCUCUUUCGGCCGGGAAGAAAUCGCACGGGCUAAUACCCUGUGUGGAUGACGGUACCGGAAUAAGAAGCACCGGCUAACUACGUGCCAGCCGCCGCCGUAA